GGAUCACUUAUCUUGCGAUCCUUUGCCUCUUCAUCUUCUACCACCACCACCUCCAGUCACUGUCAAAGCUGAGUCGCCAUCAGAACUCCAGGCUCGGUUCUUUCUUUUGAGAAUCUCGUUCUGAAAAAGAGCAGAAGUGACCUCGUCCAUCUUGAUGAUGCUUUUUUUCAUAAGAAGAGCAGUUACCAAGGACUCAAAAGAAGGGAGAGUGAAGAAAGCAAGACCAAUACCUUAGUCUUCUCCUCAACCUUCUCCCCAAUACUAAGG
rnacentral:lncRNA from 1 species